rnacentral:rRNA from 1 species
CCCUUAGACGUUCUGGGCCGCACGCGCGCUACACUGACCAGUGCAACAAGCAUCCGUCCUUGGCCGACAGGCCCGGGCAAUCUUUGAACGCUGGUCGUGAUGGGGAUAGACUUUUGCAAUUUUUUGGUCUUCAACGAGGAAUUCCUAGUAAACGCAAGUCAUCAACUUGCAUUGAUUACGUCCCUGCCCUUUGUACACACCGCCCGUCGCACCUACCGAUUGAAUGGUCCGGUGAAGCCUCCGGAUUGGCGCGCACCUCGGUGCCGCCGAGAAGUUGGCUAAACCUUACCAUUUAGAGGAAGGUGAAGUCGUAACA